rnacentral:rRNA from 1 species
CCUACGGGAGGCAGCAGUGAGGAAUAUUGGUCAAUGGGCGCGAGCCUGAACCAGCCAAGUAGCGUGAAGGAUGACUGCCCUACGGGUUGUAAACUUCUUUUAUAAAGGAAUAAAGUGAGGCACGUAUGCCUUUUUGUAUGUACUUUAUGAAUAAGGAUCGGCUAACUCCGUGCCAGCAGCCGCGGUAAUACGGAGGAUCCGAGCGUUAUACGGAUUUAUUGGGUUUAAAGGGAGCGUAGAUGGGUUGUUAAGUCAGUUGUGAAAGUUUGCGGCUCAACCGGAGAAUUGCAAUUGAUACUGGCAGCCUUGAGUACAGUAGAGGUAGGCGGAAUUCGUGGUGUAGCGGUGAAAUGCUUAGAGAUCACGAAGAACACCGAUGGCGAAGGCAGCCUACUAAACGGCCACUGACAUUGAGGCUCGAAAGUGUGGGUAGCAAACAGGAUUAGAUACCCUUGUAGUC